AACGAACGCUGGCGGCAUGCCUAACACAUGCAAGUCGAACGAGACCUCCGGGUCUAGUGGCGCACGGGUGCGUAACGCGUGGGAACCUGCCCUUAGGUUCGGAAUAACUCCCUGAAAGGGGUGCUAAUACCGGAUAAUGUCUUCGGACCAAAGAUUUAUCGCCUUUGGAUGGGCCCGCGUUGGAUUAGCUAGUUGGUAGGGUAAAAGCCUACCAAGGCGACGAUCCAUAGCUGGUCUGAGAGGAUGAUCAGCCACACUGGGACUGAGACACGGCCCAGACUCCUACGGGAGGGAGCAGUGGGGAAUAUUGGACAAUGGGCGAAAGCCUGAUCCAGCAAUGCCGCGUGAGUGAUGAAGGCCUUAGGGUUGUAAAGCUCUUUUACCCGGGAUGAUAAUGACGGUACCGGGAGAAUAAGCACCGGCUAACUCCGUG
rnacentral:rRNA from 1 species